UUUUUUUUUUUUUGGUUUUUUUGGGUUUUUUGGUUUUUUGUGCAAGCUAUGCAUAUUAUCUAACUUCAUAAAGCCCUUGUUGUCCUUCUUAAAACUAAUUAAUAGUCACAGCAUCUGAACCUAUUAGGAGUUGAUGAUAAGUGAGUUAGGAAGAGAACACACAUUUAAGGCAGAUUGCUAAGGAUGUUUAAGAAUACAGAUUUCAGACCGUGACGCGACUUGUACUGGUGAUGCCAGCACCCCAGGUGCACUGUUAGGAAGGCUACUGCGAGUCCGAGGCCAGUUGAGCGUGCUCCAGGAUAGCCAGAAAUACACUGUGCGAACCUGUCCAGGAAGAAAAGAAAAAAGAAAGAAAAGAAAACAACAGGUGCCAGGUGUCUGCAAAAAGAGGCGGGAGUUUGAAUCCCAGGCCUUUUGUUCAGAGGAUUCAAGUACUGUGACCUUAUCAUCUAGGGAGAGUCUUCUCAGGAAAACUGUAAUUCCUGGAAAUGCAGAAAGAAAUGUUGGUUUGGAGGCUGGAGAAGUUAUAAAUGUAUAGCUCCAUUUAUUAAAGUAGAUAGUAAUAUCCUACUUUAUAUACUAAAAGACAGUUGCUUGAAUGGUAAGCAUAAGAAAAGUCAAUUUCUGAUCCAUUUAAAAGACUAGAACUUGGCUGGGUGUUGAUAGAAUUGACCUCAGGUUGUGUCACUCAGAUAUUUUCUUCCCAUGCAAAACAUGAAUCAUGCUUCAAGUUGCUAAAUGAAUAGAAACACUAGGGGGAGGGCUGUUAUCAGUUAGCCAUAGCAUAUUGCUUUUAUACUCAAAUAGAGCAAGGAUACCAGAACCAAGUCCUGAAGCCAAAAGUGAGUUUUUUCCAGAUCUGUGUAUGGGGACUUAUUUGUACUUUAUGCUUAAAUUAGAAAAAAAGAUUCAAAAAGAAAAAUGUAGGAAAUAAAAGACAGCAAAAUGUCCAGUAUAGUGACCGUUCAUUGUCUUCGUCAGCUGGUGACUAACUUGAGUCCCCUCAUCUCUCAGGGAACAAAAGCAAGCCCAUGUAUUUAGUCCUUGGACUUAACAGUCUGCUUACAGGAUCACGUCUCCUUUUCUCCCUUAACUCUGGCACGUACCGGAACUAGCUUAGCCUGUCCUUUGGGAACCGGAACUAGCUUAGCCUGUCCUUUGGGAACCGGAACUAGCUUAGCCUGUCCUUUGGGGACAUCAGUUCCUUUGGGGAAGAAUGCACACGUCCCCUCUCGGGGACAACUGGGAUUGAUAACGUCAGGCACUCCUUUGCUGCGAGAUUUCACAUUGCUUGCUUUUUGAGUCGUGUCUGUUUUUUUCACAGUUUCUCUUACCUUCCCCUAUAAUCCGCCGUGUUGUGUGCCUGCCUUCCGCACUAGGCCCCUAAUUUGCUGCUUUUAAUCUGCUGUGGACUGAGAAACCCGAUUGCCACGCUUGCUAGAACUGUGUCUAAACUAAGAGUAAGUAGACUGGAAAAGGCCGAGAGCUUUUCUGUCGGUCGUGUGCAUGAACCUUGUAUUGCCUGGUUUGCUGCUUAGCAUUCUUGUGUGUGCAUUUAGUGUUUUACUAAGAAGUGGCUAAGACAUUACUUGGUUAAAAAUGUGAUUGCCGUGUAUUUGAAAUAUUAAUUUGGUGUUUGUAUGCUGAUGUGCUAGGUCUCUUUAUCAAUGAAUGUAACUGUAGAAG
rnacentral:lncRNA from 1 species